GCCUGGAUGGCUCAGUCGGUUGAGCAUCCGACUUCGGUUCAGGUCACGAUCUUGCAGUCCGUGAGUUCGAGCCCCGCAUCAGGCU
rnacentral:tRNA from 1 species